UACAGAGGUCUCAAGCGUUGUCCGGAAUUAUUGGGCGUAAAGCGCGCGCAGGCGGUUCUUUAAGUCUGAUGUGAAAGCCCCCGGCUCAACCCGGGGAGGGUCAUUGGAAACUGGGGAACUUGAGUGCAGAAGAGAAGAGCGGAAUUCCACGUGUAGCGGUGAAAUGCGUAGAGAUGUGGAGGAACACCAGUGGCGAAGGCGGCUCUUUGGUCUGUAACUGACGCUGAGGCGCGAAAGCGUGGGGAGCAAACAGG
rnacentral:rRNA from 1 species